GAUGAACGCUAGCGGCAGGCUUAAUACAUGCAAGUCGAGGGGUAGCAAGAUUGUAGCAAUACAAUUGUUGACGACCGGCAAACGGGUGCGGAACACGUACACAACCUUCCUACAAGUGGGGAAUAGCCCAGAGAAAUUUGGAUUAAUACCCCGUAACAUAGCGAUGUGGCAUCACAUUGCUAUUAUAGCUUCGGCGCUUGUUGAUGGGUGUGCGGCUGAUUAGAUAGUUGGCGGGGUAACGGCCCACCAAGUCUACGAUCAGUAGCUGAUGUGGGAGCAUGAUCAGCCACACGGGCACUGAGACACGGGCCCGACUCCUACGGGAGGCAGCAGUAAGGAAUAUUGGACAAUGGACGCAAGUCUGAUCCAGCCAUGCCGCGUGAAGGAUUAAGGUCCUCUGGAUUGUAAACUUCUUUUAUAAGGGACGAAAAAAGGUCUUUCUAGAUCGUCUGACGGUACCUUAUGAAUAAGCACCGGCUAACUCCGUGCCAGCAGCCGCAGUAAGAC
rnacentral:rRNA from 1 species